rnacentral:rRNA from 1 species
CAGUCGCCGCGGGAAUACGUAGGUCCCGAGCGUUGUCCGGAUUUAUUGGGCGUAAAGCGAGCGCAGGCGGUUAGAUAAGUCUGAAGUUAAAGGCUGUGGCUUAACCAUAGUACGCUUUGGAAACUGUUUAACUUGAGUGCAAGAGGGGAGAGUGGAAUUCCAUGUGUAGCGGUGAAAUGCGUAGAUAUAUGGAGGAACACCGGUGGCGAAAGCGGCUCUCUGGCUUGUAACUGACGCUGAGGCUCGAAAGCGUGGGGAGCAAACAGGAUUAGAUACCCGCGUAGUCCCUGUCUCUUAUACA